rnacentral:rRNA from 1 species
UGUGAACCAUACCAAACUGUUGCCUCGGCGGGGUCACGCCCCGGGUGCGUCGCAGCCCCGGAACCAGGCGCCCGCCGGAGGGACCAACCAAACUCUUUUCUGUAGUCCCCUCGCGGACGUUAUUUCUUACAGCUCUGAGCAAAAAUUCAAAAUGAAUCAAAACUUUCAACAACGGAUCUCUUGGUUCUGGCAUCGAUGAAGAACGCAGCGAAAUGCGAUAAGUAAUGUGAAUUGCAGAAUUCAGUGAAUCAUCGAAUCUUUGAACGCACAUUGCGCCCGCCAGUAUUCUGGCGGGCAUGCCUGUCCGAGCGUCAUUUCAACCCUCGAACCCCUCCGGGGGGUCGGCGUUGGGGACCUCGGGAGCCCCUAAGACGGGAUCCCGGCCCCGAAAUACAGUGGCGGUCUCGCCGCAGCCUCUCCUGCGCAGUAGUUUGCACAACUCGCACCGGGAGCGCGGCGCGUCCACGUCCGUAAAACACCCAACUUCUGAAAUGUUGACCUCGGAUCAGGUAGGAAUACCCGCUGAACUUAAGCAU